UCCCUGGUAGUAUAUCAGUUAAUACAUGCGCCUGUCAUAUGUUGGAAUCAAGAACUUAUUCCGUGCAAAAGCUGGGUUCGACUGCCAGCCAGGGAG